rnacentral:rRNA from 1 species
GGUUAAGCGACUAAGCGUACACGGUGGAUGCCCUGGCAGUCAGAGGCGAUGAAGGACGUGCUAAUCUGCGAAAAGCGACGGCGAGGUGAUAUGAACCUUUGACCCGUCGAUGUCCGAAUGGGGAAACCCAGUGCAAUUCGUUGCACUAUCGUUAACUGAAUACAUAGGUUAACGAGGCGAACCGGGGGAACUGAAACAUCUAAGUACCCCGAGGAAAAGAAAUCAACCGAGAUUCCCCCAGUAGCGGCGAGCGAACGGGGAGCAGCCCGGAGUCUGAAUCAGCUUGUGUGUUAGUGGAACGGUCUGGAAAGUCCGACGGUACAGGGUGAUAGUCCCGUACACGAAAAUGCACUUGCUGUGAACUCGAAGAGUAGGGCGGGACACGUGGUAUCCUGUCUGAAUAUGGGGGGACCAUCCUCCAAGGCUAAAUACUCCUGACUGACCGAUAGUGAACCAGUACCGUGAGGGAAAGGCGAAAAGAACCCCGGCGAGGGGAGUGAAAAAGAACCUGAAACCGUGUACGUACAAGCAGUGGGAGCCUCUUUAUGGGGUGACUGCGUACCUUUUGUAUAAUGGGUCAGCGACUUAUAUUCUGUAGCAAGGUUAACCGUAUAGGGGAGCCGAAGGGAAACCGAGUCUUAACUGGGCGUUAAGUUGCAGGGUAUAGACCCGAAACCCGGUGAUCUAGCCAUGGGCAGGUUGAAGGUUGGGUAACACUAACUGGAGGACCGAACCGACUAAUGUUGAAAAAUUAGCGGAUGACCUGUGGCUGGGGGUGAAAGGCCAAUCAAACCGGGAGAUAGCUGGUUCUCCCCGAAAGCUAUUUAGGUAGCGCCUCGUGAACUCAUCUUCGGGGGUAGAGCACUGUUUCGGCUAGGGGGCCAUCCCGGCUUACCAACCCGAUGCAAACUACGAAUACCGAAGAAUGUUAUCACGGGAGACACACGGCGGGUGCUAACGUCCGUCGUGAAGAGGGAAACAACCCAGACCGCCAGCUAAGGUCCCAAAGUCAUGGUUAAGUGGGAAACGAUGUGGGAAGGCACAGACAGCCAGGAUGUUGGCUUAGAAGCAGCCAUCAUUUAAAGAAAGCGUAAUAGCUCACUGGUCGAGUCGGCCUGCGCGGAAGAUGUAACGGGGCUAAACCAUGCACCGAAGCUGCGGCAGCGACGCUUAUGCGUUGUUGGGUAGGGGAGCGUUCUGUAAGCCGUUGAAGGUGUGCUGUGAGGCAUGCUGGAGGUAUCAGAAGUGCGAAUGCUGACAUAAGUAACGAUAAAGCGGGUGAAAAGCCCGCUCGCCGGAAGACCAAGGGUUCCUGUCCAACGUUAAUCGGGGCAGGGUGAGUCGACCCCUAAGGCGAGGCCGAAAGGCGUAGUCGAUGGGAAACAGGUUAAUAUUCCUGUACUUGGUGUUACUGCGAAGGGGGGACGGAGAAGGCUAUGUCAGCCGGGCGACGGUUGUCCCGGUUUAAGCAUGUAGGCGGAGGUUCCAGGUAAAUCCGGUACCUUGUUAACGCUGAGGUGUGAUGACGAGGCACUACGGUGCUGAAGUGAUAAAUGCCCUGCUUCCAGGAAAAGCCUCUAAGCAUCAGGUAACACGAAAUCGUACCCCAAACCGACACAGGUGGUCAGGUAGAGAAUACCAAGGCGCUUGAGAGAACUCGGGUGAAGGAACUAGGCAAAAUGGUGCCGUAACUUCGGGAGAAGGCACGCUGAUAUGUAGGUGAAGCCCCUGCGGGCGGAGCUGAAAUCAGUCGAAGAUACCAGCUGGCUGCAACUGUUUAUUAAAAACACAGCACUGUGCAAACACGAAAGUGGACGUAUACGGUGUGACGCCUGCCCGGUGCCGGAAGGUUAAUUGAUGGGGUUAGCGGCAACGCGAAGCUCUUGAUCGAAGCCCCGGUAAACGGCGGCCGUAACUAUAACGGUCCUAAGGUAGCGAAAUUCCUUGUCGGGUAAGUUCCGACCUGCACGAAUGGCGUAAUGAUGGCCAGGCUGUCUCCACCCGAGACUCAGUGAAAUUGAACUCGCUGUGAAGAUGCAGUGUACCCGCGGCAAGACGGAAAGACCCCGUGAACCUUUACUAUAGCUUGACACUGAACACUGGUCCUUGAUGUGUAGGAUAGGUGGGAGGCUUUGAAGCGUGGACGCCAGUCUGCGUGGAGCCGCCCUUGAAAUACCACCCUUUAAUGGCUGGUGUUCUAACGUAGACCCGUGAUCCGGGUUGCGGACAGUGUCUGGUGGGUAGUUUGACUGGGGCGGUCUCCUCCCAAAGAGUAACGGAGGAGCACGAAGGUUGGCUAAUCCUGGUCGGACAUCAGGAGGUUAGUGCAAUGGCAUAAGCCAGCUUGACUGCGAGCGUGACGGCGCGAGCAGGUGCGAAAGCAGGUCAUAGUGAUCCGGUGGUUCUGAAUGGAAGGGCCAUCGCUCAACGGAUAAAAGGUACUCCGGGGAUAACAGGCUGAUACCGCCCAAGAGUUCAUAUCGACGGCGGUGUUUGGCACCUCGAUGUCGGCUCAUCACAUCCUGGGGCUGAAGUAGGUCCCAAGGGUAUGGCUGUUCGCCAUUUAAAGUGGUACGCGAGCUGGGUUUAGAACGUCGUGAGACAGUUCGGUCCCUAUCUGCCGUGGGCGC